rnacentral:rRNA from 1 species
GCGAAAGCGAAUCCUAAGAGGGUGUCAAGUGGCAUGUCCUGGACCCGAAGCGGGGUGAUCUACCCAUGGCCAGUGUGAAGCAGCUGUAAGAGGUUGUGGAGGCGCGAACCCACUUAGGUUAAAAACUGAGGGGAUGAGCUGUGGGUAGGGGUGAAAGGCCAAUCAAACUCCGUGAUAGCUGGUACUCCCCGAAAUGCAUUUAGGUGCAGCGUCGGUUUAGUUUUAUAGAGGUAGAGCUACUGAUUGGAUGCGGGGGCUUCACCGCCUACCAAUUCCUGACAAACUCCGAAUGCUAUAAAAUGUUAAUCAGCAGUGAGGGCAUGGGUGCUAAGGUCCAUGUCCGAGAGGGAAAGAACCCAGACCAUCUGCUAAGGUCCCCAAAUGUAUACUAAGUUGAUCAAACGUGGUCAGACUGCUUAGACAGCUAGGAUGUUGGCUUGGAAGCAGCCAUUCAUUUAAAGAGUGCGUAACAGCUCACUAGUCGAGCGGUCCGGCGUGGAUAAUAAUCGGGCAUAAGUAUACUACCGAAGCAAUGGACAUGAAAAUGUGGUAGGGGAGCAUUCUAGUUGCGCCGAAGGUGAAUCGUGAGGUUUGCUGGAGCGGCUAGAAAAGAAAAUGUAGGAAUGAGUAACGAUAAAGCGGGUGAGAAACCCGCUCGCCGAAAAUCUAAGGUUUCCUCAGCUAUGCUAAUCAGCUGAGGGUUAGUCGCGACCUAAGGCGAACCCGAACGGGGUAGUCGAUGGACAACAGGUUAAUAUUCCUGUACCUGCUCACACUAAAAGUGACGGAGGCGAAUAGUUAGUGCGCACAGACGGAAUUGUGCGUUGAAGGGAACAGUAAUGUCCUGAUAGUACACUAAGACUACGGUCGCGGUGAUAAUCUAGCGAAUCGACUUCCAAGAAAAGCGAGUGAAGCAGCCCGUACCCUAAACCGACACAGGUAGUUGGGAUGAGAAUUCUAAGGUGCUCGAGAGAUUCAUGGCUAAGGAACUAGGCAAAAUAG